AUGCUUGCGUUACGGUACAGUUUGUAAUGAACAAAGUUCAUUAAUUUAACUGUAUAUAGUCCGUUGUUUUUACAUCUUUUAAUGUACACAUAAUGUGUGUAAUGUUAAGAAUUUAAUACUUAGUGUUAGAUUGAGAAAUAUGAUGUAAUUAUAUUCGCACAGAUAAAUAAAGUAUUUUUUUGACAGCGGUUCUACUCUUUGAGUUAUACAAUGACCCGGUGAAGAUUUGUGAAUUCAUUACGAAUUUAAGUCGGAAAAACUAAGGAACAAGUUUGUUACUUGAAGACAUAAUUAAAACGUGUACAUUUGUAGGUGAAAAUGGAGCAGUCAGUAUUCGGUCUUUGGGACUACAUCAUAAUGGCGGCGACUAUGAUAGCGUCGGUCGCAAUUGGCCUUUAUUUUAGAUUCAGUGGGGGAAAACAGAAAACCAAUGAGGAAUACCUGUUGGCCGACCGAAACAUGUCUAUACUCCCCGUGGCGGUGUCACUUAUGGCAUCUUUUAUGUCAGCCAUAACGCUUUUAGGAGUCUCCGCGGAGAAUUAUUACUACGGCAUGCAAUUCGUUGUCAUAAAUAUUUCAUACGGCAUCGCUACUCCCAUCGCCAGCCGGCUUUAUUUACCGGUGUUCUUCGGAUUGCAAAAAACUAGCACUUACGAGUACUUGGAACUACGUUUCGGGCCACGGAUACGAAUGCUGGCAUCUUUAACGUAUACAUUACAAAUGAUUUUAUACAAUGGUAUCGUACUGUACGCUCCAGCGAUAGUACUGGAAGCUGUAACUGGACUGGACAGAUUAAUAUCUAUUCUAUUGGUGGGCUUGGCUUGUACUUUCUACUCAACAUUGGGCGGUAUGAAAGCAGUCCUGUUUACGGAUCUGCUACAAUCGUUACUAAUGUUUGGGGCAGUUUUCAGUGUUGUUGUUUUCGCUUCCGUACAGCUCGGUGGGUUUGAGCAAAUAUUUGUAGUUUCCAAAGAGCACGGCCGAUUAGAUUUUUCCAAUUUCAGUGUUGAUCCAACACAGAGACAUACUUGGUGGUCUUUGAUCUUGGGAGGGCUAAUCACAUAUCUGUCAUUAUACGCUGUGAACCAUACACAGGUGCAAAGACUGCUGACGGUGAGCACACUAGGCCGGUCUCAGCAGUGCCUGUGGUGGAGCUGGCCGGUGCUCUCUGUGCUUAGCGUAGUGACCUGCAUCAGCGGGCUAGCAAUAUUCGCCGUCUACAAGGAUUGUGACCCGUUAGCGAGCCGCAGUAUUACCGCGAUGGAUCAGUUGAUGCCAUUCUAUGUAGUAGACGCGAUGCGCAGCGUGCCAGGGCUGGCAGGUUUAUUCGUGGCGGGAAUCUUCAGUGCCUCCCUCUCCACCAUAUCUGCAGCCUGUAACGCACUUGCUGCUGUCACACUCACCGACUAUGUGGGAAGAUGGUUCCAAGUGAACCCAUCGUACGUACCGUGGCUGACGAAAAUAGCGGCAUGUGUGUACGGACUUAUCUUCCUUGCACUGGCGUUCCUCGCGCAGUACUUAGGUGGUGUGCUGCAGGCGGCACUCACUAUCUUCGGCGCGGUCGGCGGGCCACUGUUAGGAGUGUUCACGCUGGGAAUGUUUACAACAUUCGCUAACGAACUGGGUGCGUCUUUCGCGUUGUUGAGUGGCAUGGCGUUGACUCUAUGGAUGAGUUUCGGCGGUCCGCGGCCGGCGCCGGUCAAGUUGCCAGUGUUGGUGGCAAACUGCACACACAAUGUCACCUUGACGACCCCUACACCGACGGAUCCCAGUUCAUAUUUCUAUUUAUAUAGAAUCUCUUAUAUGUGGACCAGCCCGAUUGGAUUCCUUUGGGUGCUAGUGAUUGGAUCGCUGGUAUCAUUAGUGAUAAGAAGACAGCAGCCGUGGGAGCGAGCUGGCAAGACCAGUCCUGACCCGGCGUUGUUUACACCACCUCUCGCUGACAGACUACGAGCCAGGGAACAUAAGAAAAAUGGAAUACAGAUGGACAACAAAAUAGUUCUCUGAAAGUGCCACACGCUUCUUGCCUUUCGGUGUAUAUUGCUUGCCAAUGAUCAGUGCAAAUUGCUGCAGCAGAGUGGUCCAGAAGAUUAAACUUAAGAUAAAUAAAC